AAAUCUUAGUUAAAUUUUGAAAAAUUGGAAAACUAGUUUUCUAAUUCUCCAUUUGAAAAAAAGGGCACUUUUGAACAUGAAACUCUGUUUUCAAAUUUUCUUUAGAAAACUAUCCCAAUUUUCCACAAGUGAAUAAGCCCAUUGUUUCUAUCCACUAACAUGUUAAUGAUAAUUAUACCAGUAUUUUUCUUUAAUCUAAAUUGAUUAGAGUGCUGAUUUGCUCAAUGGUCUACACUUUGAUAUCUGCCAUAAAUGCAUCGGUUAUUAAUAUGUGCUUGAAAAAAAUUCCAAAGAUAUAUUUGUAGACUAUUUGUAUAUUUCACUUAAGAGCAGUGGCAAAGCAUUCAUUUGAUUUAAUGUUGCUUGGAUAUCUUCUACUUUGCAGAGAUUUCUUGUAUGUCUUUCUGUUCGUUGGGAAGAUAGAAUUUGAGUCAAAAAUUUUUCCCCACACUUUAAUUGCAUGUAUUAUAAGCUAUUUGAAGAAAAGUAAUGCCAAACUUAUAAGCAAGUUCAACCUGUUGGACAUUAUUCAGGAGAGAAUCUAUUCCCAUUUUAUUUUAUUUUUUUUAACGUUUGGUUAAUUAUGUUACCUUGCAUAAUAGGGAGGAUAAUAGAAAAGCUUUUGCUAACAUCACCUGCCUUUGAUCCCUGUAUAUGAUGCUCUCCAGAUAUUUUUUGGCUAUAACUUCUCUUAAUUUAGAUUUCGGAGCUAGGAUGCACCAUAUUCGGUCACUUUGUUGAUAAACAUGGUUGUUUGCUCUCCAUGAAGUGGGACAAGUACUGGAGAAAAGUUAUUGGUUGUAUGCUCAUAUAUCUUGAUGUUAUUGAUAGAACUAUAUGCCAUAUGCUCAUAUAGCAAUUGCAAUAACUAUCUAAUCUUCACAUAAAGUGUGAUCAUUGCUCAUAUGCUCAUAAAGUUGUUGGUUAUAUGUCAUAUGCUCAUAUAGAAAUAGCAAUAACUUUCUAAUAGAAAAGUUUCUUGAUGUUAGAAUGGAAGCUUCUAGCUGGAAUUAUAUUUUCCUAUUGGAGGAAUGUGAAGAUUAGAAAGUUAUUGCUAUUGCCGAUGCUUUUUUUUAAUAAUCUAAUCUGAUAUAAUCCAGAAAGGUUACUAAUUUUGAGUCUGAUGAAAUCAUAUUGUGAUUAAAUGGAAUACUUGUUGUGCGGCAAACUGUUAGACUUUUUUCCCCUGGUUUGCAGACAGCUACCACUGCUGCAGGGGCUGAGUUGCCUCCUACACAUCCUCUCCGACUGGGUUUGGCAUUGAAUUUCUCAG
rnacentral:misc_RNA from 1 species